rnacentral:rRNA from 1 species
UACGUAGGUGGCAAGCGUUGUCCGGAAUUAUUGGGCGUAAAGCGCGCGCAGGCGGUCCUUUAAGUCUGCUGUGAAAGCCCACGGCUCAACCGUGGAGGGUCAUUGGAAACUGGGGGACUUGAGUACAGAAGAGAAGAGUGGAAUUCCACGUGUAGCGGUGAAAUGCGUAGAGAUGUGGAGGAACACCAGUGGCGAAGGCGGCUACCUGGACAAAUACUGACGCUGAGGCGCGAGAGCGUGGGGAGCAAACAGG